rnacentral:tRNA from 1 species
CGCUCGGUAGCUUAGUUGGUAAAGCACUUUUCUAACAAACUAAAGUCGUGGGUUCGAAUCCCACCUGAACAU